rnacentral:rRNA from 1 species
AACUGCGAAUGGCUCAUUAAAUCAGUUAUGAUCUACGUGACAUAUUCUUUACUACUUGGAUAACCGUGGUAAUUCUAGAGCUAAUACAUGCAAAAAAGCCCUGACUUCGGAAGGGGUGCACUUAUUAGAUAAAGCCAACGCUGGGUAAAACCAGUUUCCCUUGGUGAUUCAUAAUAAUUAAGCGGAUCGCAUGGCCUUGUGCUGGCGACGGUCCACUCGAUUUUCUGCCCUAUCAUGGUUGAGAUUGUAAGAUAGAGGCUUACAAUGCCUACAACGGGUAACGGGGAAUUAGGGUUCGAUUCCGGAGAGGGAGCCUGAGAAACGGCUACCACAUCCAAGGAAGGCAGCAGGCGCGCAAAUUACCCAAUACCGACAUGGUGAGGUAGUGACAAUAAAUAACAAUGCAGGGCCUUUAAGGUCUUGCAAUUGGAAUGAGUACAAUUUAAAUCCCUUAACGAGGAUCAAUUGGAGGGCAAGUCUGGUGCCAGCAGCCGCGGUAAUUCCAGCUCCAAUAGCGUAUAUUAAAGUUGUUGCAGUUAAAACGUCCGUAGUCAAACUUUAGCCUUUAGGCGAGGUGGCCUGGUCUUCAUUGAUCAAGCUCGCUUCUGCCGAGGCUUUUGUAUUUGGUUAUGCUAUGGGUGGCUUCGGUCGCUUAUAGUCUCUAGCCAAAUGAUUACCAUGAGCAAAUCAGAGUGUUUAAAGCAGGCUUUCAAGCUUGAAUGUGUUAGCAUGGAAUAAUGAAAUAUGACUCUAGUCCCUAUUUCGUUGGUUCAGGAACUUGAGUAAUGAUGAAUAGAAACGGUUGGGGGCAUUUGUAUUUGGUCGCUAGAGGUGAAAUUCUUGGAUUGACCGAAGACAAACUACUGCGAAAGCAUUUGACCCAGGACGUUUUCAUUGAUCAAGGUCUAAAGUUAAGGGAUCGAAGACGAUUAGAUACCGUCGUAGUCUUAACCACAAACUAUGCCGACUAGAGAUUGGGCCUGUUUAUUAUGACUGGCUCAGCAUCUUAGCGAA